AAUACGGUCGGAAAUGAUAUAUGUAACUCUUAAUUAGAAAAAGUUACAGAUUGAGGCAGUAUCUCUCUUUGACUAUUGACAUCGGAUUUGAAUUGGGUGGAGUUUCACUAUACCCAAUUUAGUUUAGUUCAGUUAAGACCUAAUAAGAUAAUAUAAUUUAAGUUCAAUUUACCUUAGUUCAUUUUCAAUUUAUUGUAUACUGCGUAAUAAACAAGUAGGGCGCAGAUUUUUUUUGGAUGCUUUGAGAGGUCUCGAAGAGGCGGCUUCUCCUCCUUCGACAUGGGCAGACCUCGGAAGAAUCAUGCCAAAAUCUUGGAAAACAGUUGAAUACGAAAAAUGAUGAUCUCUCUAGGCCAGUUACACGUGCAGCUUCGAAGAAUACUCAAGCUCCUUCAAUGGUGGAGGACGACGCCAUUUCCGUGGAAUCAAAUUUGGACUCAGUUGACCCGCCACUAUUUGAACCCGAAAUUCUCACUCCCAAAUCCUCAUUAGCUGCAUUACAAGUUCGCUCUCAGUGAAAGCUCCGUCCUCUUUUUCUCAAGGACUUUUGGCUUUGGAAAACUCGGUUUGGCUUCUAAAGGUGUUUGAGGAUCGUUCAAGCAAUCUCGGUUUGUGGAAGACGAAGAUUCUUAGUUCUUAUGUUAUAUGUUAUAUGUUUUGGGGUUAUAAGAGGUUUAAUCCUAGUAUGGAAUGUAAAGGUCACUAAUGACCUUAAUUUUUUAGUUCAUAGAUGUAAUAUGUAGUUUAUUUAAGCAAA